rnacentral:rRNA from 1 species
UACGAAGGGGGCUAGCGUUGCUCGGAAUUACUGGGCGUAAAGCGCACGUAGGCGGAUCCUUAAGUCGGUGGUGAAAUCCUGGAGCUCAACUCCAGAACUGCCUUUGAUACUGAAAAUCUUGAGUCCGGGAGAGGUGAGUGGAACUGCGAGUGUAGAGGUGAAAUUCGUAGAUAUUCGCAAGAACACCAGUGGCGAAGGCGGCUCACUGGCCCGGUACUGACGCUGAGGUGCGAAAGCGUGGGGAGCAAACAGGG